GCCUCUAUAGCUCAGCUGGUUAGAGUACAAGUUUCGUAAACUUGGGGUCCCGGGUUCGAAUCCCGGUAGAGGCU
rnacentral:tRNA from 1 species